rnacentral:rRNA from 1 species
GGAUAACCUACCCUUAGGACCGGGAUAACCUUGGGAAACUGAGGAUAAUACCGGAUAGGCAAUUAUUCCUGGAAUGGUUUUUUGUUUAAAUGUUUUUUCGCCUAAGGAUGGGUCUGCGGCCGAUUAGGUAGUUGGUUAGGUAACGGCUUACCAAGCCAUUGAUCGGUACGGGUUGUGAGAGCAAGAGCCCGGAGAUGGAACCUGAGACAAGGUUCCAGGCCCUACGGGGUGCAGCAGGCGCGAAACCUCCGCAAUGUGAGAAAUCGCGACGGGGGGAUCCCAAGUGCCAUUCUUAACGGGAUGGCUUUUCAUUAGUGUAAAGAGCUUUUGGAAUAAGGGCUGGGCAAGACCGGUGCCAGCCGCCGCGGUAACACCGGCAGCUCUAGUGGUAGCAGUUUUUAUUGGGCCUAAAGCGUCCGUAGCCGGUUUAAUAAGUCUCUGGUGAAAUCCUGUAGCUUAACUGUGGGAAUUGCUGGAGAUACUAUUAGACUUGAGAUCGGGAGAGGUUAGAGGUACUCCCAGGGUAGAGGUGAAAUUCUGUAAUCCUGGGAGGACCGCCUGUUGCGAAGGCGUCUAGCUGGAACGAUUCUGACGGUGAGGGACGAAAGUUAGGGGCGCGAACCGGAUUAGAUACCCGGGUAGUCCUAACUGUAAACGAUGCGGACUUGGUGUUGGGGUGGCUUUGAGCUGCUCCAGUGCCGAAGGGAAGCUGUUAAGUCCGCCGCCUGGGAAGUACGGUCGCAAGACUGAAACUUAA